AUGGGACUAGACUACGUUCUUGAUGGAUGUUGGUUGUUCCAUAUCCAUCCCAAAGGCUGUAGUUUGUGUGCUUUUGUGGUACACGACUGAGUCAGUCACGCUAGUGGUUUUUGUAUGGACUGAAAACAGCAGUGUGGCGUCUGCAUAAAACUAGCACCUCUGUUGUGAUGUGUGCAUGUGUUUAGGCAGUUAGGAUGUUGAUUAUACAGACACAGGUGUCUUGCCUCCCCUCAUUCCUGUUGCCUGUGAUCUAAAUGGCCUCCUCGUUUUUUGUGAGCACUACCUGGCACGCAAUCUCUCUCCUUUCCUCUCCCUCUCUCUCUUGAUUUCUCUCUGUCUCUCUCACUAAAUCAUAGCUCUCACUACCCUCUCCUUCUCUCUUCAGGAUAUUGGGAAGGACCUUUGUCAGGAAGCAGAGGCCCAUGGGGUGUGGGGGGGUUAGAGAGACACAAAGCAACACUAGUGGAUCACAUUUCAGUAUGUCACCUUGUAAGGAGAGUCGUCUGUCGGGUGGGUGCGUGUUGGGGGAGGCAGCCAAGUGCCACACACACUCCUUAAGACUUAUGAGUGCAUCAUAACCUUGACCAAGACAAUCUGUUCAACGACACUUAGUGAAGAUUCCUCAUGAUGUGCCUCAGAGCCGCUGGGACACAGCUCUUCUAUUCUUUCUGUGCACUAUCAGCUCGGCACCAGAUCGCGCCCAUACCACUCAACGGCCAUUACUCCAUCUGCAAGAUAAAUCUGGACUGCUGUGUCAAAUCAAUCACAACUGUCAUUUCAUCCACACAGACCACAGUACUAAAUUGAAGCCUUUUUGCCCAUAUGCAUUCCAAAUAGUCAUCAAUUCUCCGCCAUACAUUCAUUGUUUGCUUUGACAGCUGCAGGCAGGUAAUGAAUGAUCAGGUAGUUUAAUUUUGAGACGCCGUGGGUCAGCUCGGACGCUAGGCGGCAGUUGUUUGAUAAUACUGAGCGUCCUUUUUCUGUACUGUGAUUGUACUUCUCAUCUUCCCCUACUUAGCGAGAGGGAAUGGUAUUAUAUCACGUUUUCCCUUUUUAGCUUGGUUGUCGUACAUGUGUCGACAUUGUCCAUUAGCAAGCAUCUGAAAUGUGUAUCAGGGUAAAUAUUUGUGUGUCGCCAGGGAUGCGGGUGAGGACAAACAAGUGUUCCUGUAGGCCUUUGGUGAGGGACCCUACAGGCUUACAGCAUGUCUACAGUGUGAAUAAAGCAUGAAAACUGUCGUUCUGUUCUGAGGCCACGGCUCUGAUCCCUGUCCUCCUUCUUGUUAGUCGAUAAUAAACAUGGCUUGUCCACUAAAGGAUGACAUGGAAAGGAAGAUUUAGUCAGCGGCUGCGGGUUUUAUUUUUUUAUUACUUAUAUGUGUUAUUUCUUUUUGACAUUGGAUUAGGGAUGUUAGUUUUUAAAUAACAUGAAUUUUCAGCUGAUUGGGGUCACCGUGGCAGACGUCAUUUUUGGGACGUUGGGGAAAAUUCCACAAAUGUCGGGGAUUGGCAACUGAAAAUAUUUUUUUUUUCCUUCUAUCAAACGUAUUGUACACAGCAGAUAGCACAACAUAUUUUGUAAAGUAUCCUGACACUGGAAGAUAAUCCUUACCCAUUUGACUCAUUUACAAGUGGUGUCGGUUUAGCUAAUGCAAAAACAAGGAUCACUUUACUUUCACAGCCACGUUUUUUUUUUGCCUCUCUCGCUCUUUCUUUCUGACUCACCUUGCCAAAUGUGCUAUUGUGUUGUACAGAGAUGAGAAAUGAGGGGCUUUCUGUGCUGCUGAUACCUGUUAUUUGAUAUCACAGCCUUGCAACAAUUCAUCCUUAUGUGCUGUUUAAAGGAUUUGUUGGCUCAUAAUGCAUUGGUAUUAGUUUAAAAUAUUGCUACUUUGCAAAGCAGCGCAGAUGGGCCGGGCUGAUGCAGCAAGCGUGAGGGAACGGGCUGAAAUGCUCAGAUAUGAGAUGUAUUAAAUGCACGAGUGAUUUCGAUGCGUCUUACUGUAAUUGAUUCUUUUCAAAGGUGUCUUCUCACUUUUCACCACCUCCCUCACUCUGUGGGGCUCUCGAUCUCUCUCCCCUCCUCUCUCUAUAUCACUCGCACCUUCUCUCUUGUGCAUUUUUGCAACGCACUGGAGUGUAACAUUGUUUAAUAUUAUACAUUUGCCUAUUUCUUGAGGUUUCG
ensembl:lncRNA